rnacentral:rRNA from 1 species
GACGAACGCUGGCGGCGUGCCUAAUACAUGCAAGUAGAACGCUGAAGAGAGGAGCUUACUCUUCUUGGAUGAGUUGCGAACGGGUGAGUAACGCGUAGGUAACCUGCCUUGUAGCGGGGGAUAACUAUCGGAAACGAUAGCUAAUACCGCAUAACAAUGGAUGACACAUGCCAUCUAUUUGAAAGGGGCAAUUUCUCCACUACCACAUGGACCUGCGUUGUAUUAGUUAGUAGGUGAGGUAACGGCUCCGUUAGGCGACGAUACCUAGCCGACCUGAGAGGCUGGUCGGUCACACUGGGAGUGAGACGCCGCCGAGAGGACGACGGGAGGCACCAGUAGGGAAUCGUCGGGAAUGGGGGCAAGCCUGGCCGAGCAGUGCCGCGGGAGUGAAGAAGGCUCUCGGAGCGUAAAGCUCUGUUGUACGUCAAGAACGGGUGUGGGAGUGGAAGGAGCAGGAUGUACGGGAAGGUUACGAGAAGGAGAGGCCAAAGUACGU